rnacentral:rRNA from 1 species
ACGGGAGGCAGCAGUGGGGAAUAUUGGGCAAUGGGCGAAAGCCUGACCCAGCGACGCCGCGUGAAGGAAGACGGUCUUCGGAUUGUAAACUUCUUUUAUGUAGGACGAAGAAAAUGACGGUACUACAUGAAUAAGCCACGGCUAACUACGUGCCAGCAGCCGCGGUAAUACGUAGGUGGCGAGCGUUAUCCGGAUUUACUGGGUGUAAAGGGUGUGUAGGCGGGACUGCAAGUCAGAAGUGAAAAUUAUGGGCUCAACUCAUAACUUGCUUUUGAGACUGUGGUUCUUGAGGGUCGGAGAGGUAACUGGAAUUCCUGGUGUAGCGGUGAAAUGCGUAGAUAUCAGGAGGAACACCGGUGGCGAAGGCGGGUUACUGGACGAUUACUGACGCUGAGACACGAAAGCGUGGGGAGCAAACAGGAUUAGAUACCCUGGUA